AUUGACUUCCUCUCUGUGGAUAGUGUAGGGUGUAUUGACUUCCUCUCUGUGGAUAGUGUGGGGUGUAUUGACUUCCUCUCUGUGUAUAGUGUGGGGUGUAUUGACUUCCUCUCUGUGGAUAGUGUGGGGUGUAUUGACUUCCUCUCUGUAGAUAGUGUGGGGUGUAUUGACUUCCUCUCUGUGGAUAGUGUGGGGUGUAUUGACUUCCUCUCUGUAGAUAGUGUGGGGUGUAUUGACUUCCUCUCUGUAGAUAGUGUGGGGUGUAUUGACUUCCUCUCUGUGGAUAGUGUGGGGUGUAUUGACUUCCUCUCUGUGUAUAGUGUGGGGUGUAUUGACUUCCUGUCUGUGGAUAGUGUGGGGUGUAUUGACUUCCUCUCUGUGGAUAGUGUGGGGUGUAUUGACUUCCUCUCUGUAGAUAGUGUGGGGUGUAUUGACUUCCUCUCUGUGUAUAGUGUGGGGUGUAUUGACUUCCUGUCUGUGGAUAGUGUGGUGUGUAUUGACUUCCUCUCUGUGGAUAGUGUGGGGUGUAUUGACUUCCUCUCUGUGGAUAGUGUGGGGUGUAUUGACUUCCUCUCUGUGGAUAGUGUGGGGUGUAUUGACUUCCUCUCUGUGUAUAGUGUGGGGUGUAUUGACUUCCUGUUUGUGUAUUGUGUGUUUCAACAACCAUGACUGACUGUUGGUCAUCUUAUUCUAAGUGAAUUGAAUCAGAAACAAAGGACAUAAUGAGAGGGGUGUCAUCAGUCUACUACUUUGUUUUUAGCUUUGCGAUGCUGUGAGGCUGUUGUUUGUGAUGCUGUGAGGUGGUUGUGGUCUGAUGCUGUGAGGUGGUUGUGGUCUGAUGCUGUGAGGUGGUUGUCUGAUGCUGUGAGGUGGUUGUUGUCUGAUGCUGUGAGGUGGUUGUUGUCUGAUGCUGUGAGGUGGUUGUUGUCUGAUGCUGUGAGGUGGUUGUUUGUGAUGCUGUGAGGUGGUUGUUGUCUGAUGCUGUGAGGUGGUUGUUGUCUGAUGCUGUGAGGCUGGUGGUGUGGUCUGAUGCUGUGAGGUGGUUGUUGUCUGAUGCUGUGAGGUGGUUGUUGUCUGAUGCUGUGAGGCUGUUGUUGUGUGAUGCUGUGAGGCUGUUGUUGUCUGAUGCUGUGAGGUGGUUGUUUGUGAUGCUGUGAGGUGGUUGUUGUCUGAUGCUGUGAGGUGGUUGUUUGUGAUGCUGUGAGGUGGUUGUUGUCUGAUGCUGUGAGGUGUUGUUGUCUGAUGCUGUGAGGCUGUUGUUUGUGAUGCUGUGAGGCUGUUGUUUGUGAUGCUGUGAGGUGGUUGUUUGUGAUGCUGUGAGGUGGUUGUUGUCUGAUGCUGUGAGGUGGUUGUUUGUGAUGCUGUGAGGUGGUUGUUUGUGAUGCUGUGAGG